CUUUGACAAUGUUUCAACUGAUAUACAGUGCAGUUAAGAGUAUAUCAUUCGUUGGUGUUUUGUCUUGAACUUGUAUAGCCUCAUAAGUCCUUUGCUAAUCUGUGAAGGCCCAGCUGACAACUGAUAAGUAUAAGUUUGACUCAUGACUGUAAAUCCACAAGCCUGAAUGUCAGGUCAACUACAGUGGCCCGUCUUGGUAAAGAGAGCGAAGGUGUCAUAUAGGAUUGCUCACUCCAGUACAAGAUGAGGAACACUUCACUCAUUGGUGAUGGAGAUUCAAAAUCAUCUCUACUGUAUUGGCCCUCAACCCCUCCAAACUCAGGAGGUGAUGUAUGUCAACCAUGUGGCAAAAGAUCUCAGCUCUGUACUUUGCGAAAUCUGAGAGCCAUCGAGAAAAAGAGAGGUGUAACGCUGGGAGAGAGAGCGUUUAGCAUACUGACUCAGGAGAAGAUUGGAUGUCUCCAGUCCUAUUACACAAAACCUCUGAGGUUGUUCAACUCUUUCCACUGUUAAUGUAAGAAGCAAUGGUGGCCACGUUGCUGCACAGUACAGCACCAGCACAGAUGGAGACCCACAUCGUGACAGAUGCCCACCUACUAAUGAAAACAAAUGGUGCUUUUACAUUAUAACACAAACAGGUCAAACACAGAAGACUCAAAAUCACGCAUGUAUCAGUAGAACUGUGCCUGCGGUCCCAUUUUUUUUUUCUUCUUUAUCUUUUAAAGAUAUCCUUCGAACUACAGAACCCUAGAACUACGGAUGCCUCGAACUACCAAGGCCAGUUCCAACGAAUUCAAGCUAUCUGUGUUAUACUGUACUUUUACAAAAGGCAUUACAGCCAAAGAAGCACAGCACCAUCACACAAGGGAAGUCUUUCUACCCACCUCAAACCCCCUCAUUUAUGAAGCUUGUGCACCACAGAUGAGCUAAUGGAGAUCAAGUAUGUACCUGGCGUGGCACAAAAAUAGAAUGGGAGUUUCCAUAAGUUCACACCUGGUUGAAGGGCCCUAAGACAGUCUUUGUGACCAAACCAAGAGUAGAAGCAGCUUUUGCUAUCACUACUGCAGACUGGAAUUUGGGGGCCAUUAGCACCCAGACGUUUAUGCCAUUUCUAAAAUUGUUGGUCUCAGCCCGAACCAUGGACAGUGGCAUCAAAAGGGACUGUACCCAAAUAAAGAGGGCAGAGACUGCCAUAAGCUUAGAAAAACAGGAAAGGAACCAUCUUUUAGAGGAGGAAAAUUGGACCGGCAGAUGUCUCUACUGCUCAGGAAAAGGGACUGAUUAUAAAUAAAGAAGUCCUUCUGCAA
rnacentral:lncRNA from 1 species